CCGGUGGUUCAGAAGCGUCCACAUGCGUUGUCCGGAAUUAUUCAUUUCCGUGUCGUCGUUGAAAGAAGAAGCAUCUAUCAUGGACGCUUCGACAUGUAGCCACGUGACUGAUGGUUUCAAGUGUUUAUCAACGUUCCUUCGUAGAUUAGAAAGGUAUCUUCUGAUAAGCUGACUUGAAUAUAAUUGAAAACUAAUGGCUGUUAAAUGAUAAAGGGUUCGAAAGGGAAUUCUUCUCUUCAAAAUGAGCUGAAAUUCUGGUGACAAUGGACUAAAAUACAUGGCGGUGCUGACUAUUGGCUAAUUGGCUUUUUAGGACAAUUUUAUGAAAAUCAACCUUUUCUGAGAGAGGAAUUUUAUUGCUCGACAUUUUCGAUGUGAUAACAGUUAGACAAAAUCUAAUAAAUAAAUAAAACAAAAAA